AUCAGGGGGAUCAAAUUUUCCAUUCAAUAUGCACAUGUAUUUCAUGUUCAGAGCACAUAAUGUUAAUGUUGAAACCUGCCUCUUAUCUAAAAACCUCCGUCGCCCCGGAGCCGUCCACUGGCGGUGGAGGAGAUCUAAAUCCCACGAUUUCUACACCUAAAUCCUUUGUUUCAAUGUCCCGAGUCUCUAUCCCUUAUAAAUUUGACUCAAUUUCGAACCAAAUGCCCAAACUGAAUGAAAACAAGUAUGAACCCUAAUUUGCAUAUCUUAAAUUGAACAGUGAUAACUCAUGAAUCUGGUCCCAAAGAUUAGGGCAAAUGCUUCUCAAAAUGAAUUCUACAAGAUGGUAACAAGAUUACGAUGAGAAGAGAGAAUCAAAUAUGUCUGAAGCGGAGGUUUUCUCCGGUGAACAGUUGGAAGGAAGAAGAUGAUUGUGCCGUGGCGGAAACUCUUGAAUCAGGUUCUUUGAAGGCAUGUGAAUGUAAAGCAAGGUGAUGGAAAGAUUGAAACAUAAUGAGGUUAUCAUAAAAUUUCAUGUGAUGGCUUGAAGAAAAAAAUGACUUGCUUGCUAAUGAAGGAAGCUUAGCCAUGAAGUUACAAUAAAAGAUGGAAACAUGAAGGAUUAAAGUGGAAAUCAUCAAUUAGGGCUAGGUUUUAGAUGAGUGGACUUUGGUCAACUGGUUGACCAAAAAGUCAAUAGUUGACCAAAGUUAACUAUAGGUUAAAAAUCAGUUUUUGUUUUCUAGUUCUUCGUAGAGACAUUGUAACAUGACUUUGUAUGAAUGAAUGGACAAAUUUGAAUGAAAAUGAUGCGUUAAAUCA